rnacentral:lncRNA from 1 species
CGGGGCUUGCGGCGAGGGGUGGGACCGCAGGGCCGGAGUAAAAGGGUGCUUGGCUGUGACAGGUCUCCUGGCCUCAGUGAUGGAAUUAAGAUGACUUCUAUCUCUGAAUCCAAGGGUGACUGAAAGCCGCAAGCUGCAGAAAGGACAAGAGGCAUCACCUAUGUGGAUAAAGACAGCAUCCUGAGUUGAUGGAGAAAUGGCAUAGAAGGAACCAGGUCCUUUGAUGACAUCAUGGAGCAAAGCUGUCUUCUUGCCUUGACCUGCUACCUACCUACAUGGGAAGCUGUUACUUGAGAAGGCAAUAAAAUCUAUCUUCUUUAUUGACA